CAUGUAGGCGGUUUUUAAGUCUGGAGUGAAAAUGCGGGGCUCAACCCCGUAUGGCUCUGGAUACUGGAAGACUUGAGUGCAGGAGAGGAAAGGGGGAAUUCCCAGUGUAGCGGUGAAAUGCGUAGAUAUUGGGAGGAACACCAGUGGCGAAGGCGCCUUUCUGGACUGUGUCUGACGCUGAGAUGCGAAAGCCAGGGUAGCAAC
rnacentral:rRNA from 1 species